rnacentral:sRNA from 1 species
CUUCCAUGAUCUGUGGACAGAUGAGGUGGACGUGGCAGUCGAUGCCGCCUGCAGUGAGAAUCUUCCCGUUGCCCGCGAUGAGCUCGGUGGACGGUCCGAUCACCAGAUCGGGGUGGACUCCGGUCAUGGUGUCGGGGUUGCCGGCCUUGCCGAGUGCAACGAUCCGACCGUCGCGAAUGCCGAUGUCUGCCUUGAUGAUGCCCCAGUAGUCGACGACGACGACUCCGGUGAUGACGGUGUCGGGUGCGCCGUCGGCCCGGGUCGCGCGCGACUGUCCCAUCGACUCACGAAUG